UUUUAUUAGACCAGUAUUUUUCUUUGAAACGUAUCACCUGAUCACGCCCCACUAUAUAAAACGAUCGCGCGGCGGCGCCAAUUCAUUUGAAAUUUAAAGACAGAAGAGGAACGUGAGAAAUUACUAAAUUCCAGGAAAAUGCCGAAACGAGUAAACCAAGCCAAAUCUACGAAAAAAACUAAAACUAAGCCAACGGCUGGUGUUGCCAAACGGUCCAGAAAAAUGCCGAGGCAGGUUAUGAAAAAAAAUAAAACCAUGCCAAGAGCUGGUGCUACCAAACGGCCCAGAAAACUGCCGAGGAAAGUUACUAAGACAAUCGGUACACCAAGGCGAAUUUCCAGACCGAUAACCUUCGGUCCAAGGGCCCAUAUUUCCAUGCCUAUUUGAAGGAACGUUAAACGUCAAAUAUAUUAACCAAUUAAAAAAAAAAAUAAAUCUAACAAUGA